rnacentral:rRNA from 1 species
UGGGGAAUAUUGCACAAUGGGCGAAAGCCUGAUGCAGCAACGCCGCGUGAGUGAUGAAGGUCUUCGGAUUGUAAAGCUCUGUCUUUUGGGACGAUAAUGACGGUACCAAAGGAGGAAGCCACGGCUAACUACGUGCCAGCAGCCGCGGUAAUACGUAGGUGGCGAGCGUUGUCCGGAUUUACUGGGCGUAAAGGGUGCGUAGGCGGAUGUUUAAGUGAGAUGUGAAAUACCCGGGCUUAACUUGGGUGCUGCAUUUCAAACUGGAUAUCUAGAGUGCAGGAGAGGAGAAUGGAAUUCCUAGUGUAGCGGUGAAAUGCGUAGAGAUUAGGAAGAACACCAGUGGCGAAGGCGAUUCUCUGGACUGUAACUGACGCUGAGGCACGAAAGCGUGGGUAGCAAACAGGAUUAGAUACCCUGGUAGUCCACGCCGUAAACGAUGAGUACUAGGUGUAGGAGGUAUCGACCCCUUCUGUGCCGCAGUAAACACAUUAAGUACUCCGCCUGGGAAGUACGAUCGCAAGAUUAAAACUCUAAGUGAAUUGACGGGGUCA